GACUAGAACCCAGAUCGCCUGAGUCCCAGUCCCACGCUCUUAACCACUACACCACACUGGUUGGCAGGUCAGUGAUGGGAAGAGGGGGAAGGCCAUGCCCCAGCAUCCCCAUUUGUUGGGCAGAAUGGGGGGCCCAGGCUACUUUAAGCCCAGGGCAGCUACACAGCCCAUCUAUCAGACACACAGUCACACACCCAUAUACACACACAGAACCUGCCAUUUUUAGCUCUGGCAAGAGGCCCUGGCCUAGGGGAACCUCCCCAUCUCUUUUAGUGCUGACCAUGUAGCUGGAACAGCAUGCCACAGCUCAACAGAAGCUCAGGUUUUCUCAUGUACUGUAGAAAUAAAAGGAACCUUUUGUGAUGCUUGAACCUAUUGUGCAUUGCCUAAAGGGCAAAGCCUAGCAGAGGGCUUCAAAUAAAGCAAGUCACCUCCCCCACUCCCAUUCAACAUGCUUCUUCCUGGAAAGAACGGCUGUGGGUAGAAGGACCUUGUCUCUGGAUGUACCUCUCUCAGCAGCCUUCGUACCCAAGUUACCAAAUCUACCAGAAAUAAUAGAGGCUAUCUUCUCUGAUGCUAUCAGGGCUUUUUAAUAAUACUUAUACAAAGAAAAAGAUGCAGUUCCAAAAGAACACUGUUGUAGCCCAACAUUUGAAAGUUGUAUUGUUAGUGAAAAAGUGUCUGAUAAUGUAAAAAAUAAAGUGGGUAGUCUAAGUUCCUCUUGAACCCUACACAGAUGAAGCAUUUUUACUUAUCCUUCUACUAAAAAAAGGCAUUACCUGCAAAAUGCACUGCUAGAGCUUUCUUCCUCAGCCUGGUGCCCUUCAGAUGUCUUGGAACUCAGUUCCCAUCAGCCCAAACUAGUAUGCUAAGUGCUGGCCCUGAAUACUGAUUGCUGCCCAAAACAUGCAGAGAGCAUCAAACUGGGGGAAAUUGUUCUAAAGCACAUUCACCAAUGUUUCCAGGAUUAUGGAAAUUGUUGCUGGAUGAAUUAUGCAGGGAGGUCAAUUUUAUGAUAAUGGUAGUAAUACCAUAAAAAAGACAGCUGUGUGGGGCUUGUGCACUGUGGUUUCUUUUUUUUCUUCUUGUCCCUAGGUGUCUUUUUUUCUUUAUCCAACACUCAGAUAAUGUUUGUUGGAGUUCAUGAUUUUUUUUCUCAACAUAACACUCUUUUUUUCAUUAGUGCUGUUCAGUUCCAAGGAUCUUCUGCUACUCUGCAUAUGUUUCUAAAUCUCAUGCAAUGUGACCUUAAAUGAGGAGAACUUAUAAUGAAAAGUGCACAGGUGUUCAAUCCAUGUAUAAUACAUGCACCCAUUACAACCACAAACUGCUGUGUAGCUCUGCACAAUCCUGCAAGAAUUCCUGUGGAUGCCCAUGGUAAAAUCUUUGCAUUCUAGCAGCCCCUGUUCCUCCAUCUAUAAAAAGAGGGAAAUAGAAAACUCCUACAUCAUGUGCUCAUAUGAAUGAGUCACAGAAAGUUUGCCACUUGCCCCAGUCUUUCAAACAAAAAAAGCUAUAAAGUUUUUUUCCCCUUUUUUUAAUCACUCAAGAACAAAAGGUGUGACGGCUAUUUCCACAAACUUAGUGGAAAAACUUUAUAAAACUUUGAUUGAAAAGAAAAAAAGGAAAGAAAGGAAAGGAAAGUAAGUUACACUGGAUAAUAAGCGUUUCCUGUGGUGCAUGAUAAAGACAUGGGUGGGAGAAGGGGUUACAAAGAAAGACAACAGCCACUCAACUCCAGUCUCCCCUCUCGCUCCCCCCAACUCUGCUAAUGAGGCGAUCCAGAGCACAGGCUGCCAAAUACCUCUCUUCCACCGCCUCCCUAAAAAUCCACCCCCGCUCCUUAUAGCCAAGGAGAGAACCCAGGAGUCCUGGCGUCCAGCCACCUCUGAAGUCACAACUAACAUUACCACAACCGGUUUGUUGUCGUGGGGCGGGGAAGAAAAGCAUAGGGAUAUCAGUUUUCUGGCUCGAUUCCGGGGGGAAAGCAAUUUCCCAUCCCCAGUGGCGUUGGGGGAGCAGACAGAGUGCGCGGCACGACGCGAAGCACGCCGAGGACAGCUCCGCGGCGGCGCAGUCUGCCUGGGAGAAAAGCAGCGACAUGGCAACAUAAGCCGCUUCCCAGUUAUAAAUAGAGACCCCGAGAGAUGGAGAGCACAAGGAUAAAGAUACGCUGACAACCCCUGAAGUGGGCAUGGUGAACAGCUCCUAACAGAGAAAAAAAUGCUACAAGAUGCUUUGCUGUUCGUUCUGCUGUCGACUAGCACAACUACCCUUUGAACAUGGCUCCAAAAUAUGACCAUCGGUGGUUCCUGCAAGAAAGCUGCCUCCUACCCUACAGUCUCUCCCCAAUGAAUUCCUAGAAACAAAUCAAUAUAACUGCAUAUACACAGUCGCAACGAGCUGUAAAAGUCUCAGGGGGAACUCAGGCUGGAAAGAACAUUAAUCUCCAGGCAGGGCUCUUGUGCCAGGUGGCCAGCAGGGGAGCCACAAUGCUGGGCGUACAAGGGAGAAGCCUCCAAAUGAAGAUGGGAUGGAAGAGGAGAGGAAGCCGUUUCCGAGACUGAAGCAUCCCUGCACACCAACAUUUGUUUGGUUCAUUUUUUAAAGUUGAGCAGAAAAAAGCAGAUGAGGUUCUGCAGUAAAUCUUAUUUAAACAAAAAAGAGUUUUUAAAAUAUGAGUUAAAAAUAAGAGUAAACCAAAACAACUUGGUUUCUCCUGCAAAGCAGUUAAAUCAUUUGACUCAAUAAAGCUUAGGAGCAAAGCA